GUCCAAACCCGCAGUCGGCAUCUAAAGUCAAAUAAAAGCUUAUCCCGAUGUUUAUACUGGGAAGCAUUUUUCACAUAAAAAUUCAAAUUUGGUUGAAUUUGUUUUUCUCCCUGUUAGUAUUAGUGGAUGGGAGGGGAGAAAAUAAGUGGGAGAGGAAGACAACUUUUGAAAUGUACACAUUCCAUAAAAGAAACCACAAUAUAUAGUUUAUCCCAUUGCACACUGAUAAGGCCAGCAUGUUAAGAUUUUAAGUGUUUGUUUUGCGUUAAAGAAAACUCUGACCUGUACUGUAUUGAGAAAGGGUAAGUACGGUAUUCAGAAGGGCUCAUGUAAAGAAGAGGGAAAGCCUCUUCCUCUUGCCAUUACAGAUGUGCACACAUUCAAUACCUAAUAUAAACAUAUUGGUAAAAAAAUGCCUGCAGAUGUGUCUCUUAAAUUGUUAUGAACUCACACAAAUUGUGUAUAAUCUCACCAUUAUUCACUAUUAAUCUCAGUUCUUAGCCAAGUCCAUCCAGCUUCUGUUCUUAACAUUAAAAACAAAUCUAAAGAUUCCACUACAAUUCAUUUGUCAGUGUGAGUGCAGAGUUAUUCUUCUGCUUUGGAGAUUGUCUUAUGGAUGUACACUGGUAAACACAACAUGCUUCAUUGAGAGUAAACCAUGUAUCAGUUUGCAGCCACAAAAUAUUUUUGAAAAGACAUUUUCUUGGCAUUAAUUAAUCUACCUAUGAUUUCAUGACAGGAAACAUGGACGAUCUCCAACAAUAUAAACAUAUUAAGCAUGAAUAAACCUAGCAUUCUUAUCACAAAUAAAGAAAAAACAGGAGUUGCUUUGCUAAGAGUGUAAGUAAGCCUACAGGACAACAAGUCAUGACAUCUGAAAUUUAGUUUUGCAUGAAAUAUGAGCUGGGAGUGUCAAAAGCCUGUCUGUUUAGCAUGAAUGACCAUGGUGAUGAUAGGUAAUAACUUGGACUGGUUUCUGGAUAUGUUCUGGUUGGCACUUCAUACCCUUCAUGUACUGUAAGUCUAGUGUGAUUAUGCCGUACACUUUCCGUCACAAGACAACCAUAGAUAUACUUGUAUUUGUUUUCUUUAUAAAAGACAAGAACAAAAAAUAAAUAUCAAAAAUAACAAUUAACAAAAAAAAAGAAGGAAGAAGCUAACAAGCCUCUUCACUGCGCUCCCUUAACCCACUUUCUCCCCCCUCAUCCAAAGUCAGAGUUGCUCUGCGAAUGACUAAUAGAUGUCCUUCAGUCUCUUAAAGUGCUACGACCGGGUUAUUGAGAGGAUUUAUAGUUCAAUAACACUU